GAUGAACGCUAGCGGUAGGCUUAACACAUGCAAGUCGAGCGGCAGCAUCGUCUUAGCUUGCUAAGACUGAUGGCGACCGGCGGACGGGUGCGUAACGCGUAUGCAACUUGCCUCACAGAGGGGGUAAACCCGGCGAAAGACGGCCUAAUACCGAUUACACGCUAUUUUGUGCAUCCGAGGUAGAGUAAAUGAAAUUCGCUGUAAGAUAGGCAUGCGUCCCAUUAGCUUGUUGGUGAUGUAACGGCUCACAAAGGCGACGAUGAGUAGGGGAGCGGAGAGGUUGAUACCCGGCACUGGUACUGCGACACGGACCAGAGUCCUACGGGACGGAGCAGAGUGUUACAUUAGGCAGUGGGGGAGAAUAUGAACCAGCCAAGUCGAGUGAGAGAUGACUGUGUUAGGGAUGGGAUACUGCUUUUAGAGGUGAAUAGCGAGGUGAACCGGGGCGCUAGUGACUGUACCCGAAGAAUAAGCACCGGCUAACUCCGUG
rnacentral:rRNA from 1 species